CUUGGGGCACCUGGGGAGCAGCUGGGCCUGAUCAGGAAGGGAGCCUGGAGCCUUGCUCUGCGUCUCUGCUCAGCCUCUCUCCAUGAUACCAGAAACGACUGGAAUGUUUCAUUCCUCGGACUUUUUCUGAGACUUAUCAGCGGCCUUAUGAAAAAGUACCUGUUCGCCCGUUUAUUUUUAGCUAUCAUAUUAAACAUUCCAGCCGAAAAUUACAAGAUCAAAACUCCCAAAGGUCGGCUGCCUGCUUCCUAGCUUGCUUUUGAGAACUGCUUAGAAGCUGCGAGCCGCCAAGUCCCACGCGUGACUAUCCUGGGAAGGCGCGGAGGCCGCUGUCCCUGGGGGCGCCUCCCCUGGGUUUGGAGGCGCUGUGCGCUCUGUCAGGCGAGAGGAAACGCGCAUUAGCCAAAUCCAGGCAGGCCGCUCAGAUGCUGUAAAAGAUUCCCAGUAGACCUGCUUAACGCUUUUCUGACUGAUCUUCGGCUUCAAGGUUAUUAUACCCAAGCCGACUGCACAUUACUAAAGUACAUUACUAAAUUACUUAGUAAAGCUGGUAUAUUCCAACAACGCUGGCCGCACACCAGAAUCAAACCAGUCUGGACCUUGGACAGAUCUGACCCCCUGGCCAAGAGAUGAAGCCUGGGGCUGGAGCUCAAAGUGUCUAAACCCAGCCCAGGUACUCCUGGGACUCCUGGCUGGGUCAGAGGCUCGGGAUGGGAGGGGAGACUACGUGGGACUCAUUUCUCCUGUGCUGACUGCCAUACUGCCAUUCCUGCUAUUUUCUGAAGUCUCCAAGCUGCAGCCAGGAAGAUGCUGAGACAGGAGAUUCUGCUCAACCAGGGAGCUCCAAAAGACCACAAAGGGCCUGUUGUUUCACAGUCGAGGAGCCCCAGUGUCAACGGAGACGU
rnacentral:lncRNA from 1 species